GGGGCGGUAGCUCAGUGGUCAGAGCGCGGCACUCAUAAUGCCUUGGUCGUGGGUUCGAUCCCCACCCGCCCUA
rnacentral:tRNA from 1 species